rnacentral:lncRNA from 1 species
CUCCAAUUUCUUAAAGAUUUCCAUAAACCUCUCAAGCUGUUUUUCGUUCUCCUUCCUUGAAUAAAUCUUUGGAUAAGGAAGGGGUUUUCCAAACUCUUUCUCUUUUUUCUCUAAUCUACCUCUUCUUUCUUUUUUUCUCCCUCAAUUCUCUCUUUUUCUCUCAUCUCACUUUCUUCCUCCUCUCUUUUCUUUUUCCGCUCACUUUCUUCUUCCUCACUCAAAUUUUCU